UGGGGAAUCUUGCGCAAUGCGCGAAAGCGUGACGCAGCAACGCCGCGUGGGGGAAGAAGGCCUUCGGGUUGUAAACCCCUUUCAGUUGGGACGAAGGUCGGGCCGUUAAUAGCGGUUCCGGCUGACGGUACCUUCACAAGAAGCUCCGGCUAACUACGUGCCAGCAGCCGCGGUAAUACGUAGGGAGCAAGCGUUGUCCGGAAUCAUUGGGCGUAAAGAGCGUGUAGGCGGCCCGGUAAGUCGGUUGUGAAAGUCAAGGGCUCAACCCUUGAAAGCCGACCGAUACUGCCGGGCUAGAAUCCGGAAGAGGCGAGUGGAAUUCCUGGUGUAGCGGUGAAAUGCGCAGAUAUCAGGAGGAACACCAAUGGCGAAGGCAGCUCGCUGGGACGGUAUUGACGCUGAGACGCGAAAGCGUGGGGAGCAAACAGG
rnacentral:rRNA from 1 species